rnacentral:tRNA from 1 species
GCCCUGGUAGUGUAGUGGCCUAGCAUGAGAGCCUGUCGCGCUCUCGACCCGGGUUCAAAUCCCGGCCAGGGCG